rnacentral:rRNA from 1 species
UACGGGGGGGGGCAAGCGUUGUUCGGAAUUACUGGGCGUAAAGGGUCCGUAGGUGGUCGUGUAAGUCUGACGUGAAAUCCCAUGGCUCAACCGUGGAACUGCGUUGGAAACUGCAUGACUUGAGUACCGCAGAGGUAAAGGGAAUUCUCGGUGUAAGGGUGAAAUCUGUAGAUAUCGAGAGGAACACCAGUGGCGAAGGCGCUUUACUGGGCGGUUACUGACACUGAGGGACGAAAGCAAGGGGAGCAAACGGGG